rnacentral:rRNA from 1 species
CCUACGGGAGGCUGCAGUCGAGGAUCUUCGGCAAUGGGCGCAAGCCUGACCGAGCGACGCCGCGUGGGCGAUGAAGGCCUUCGGGUUGUAAAGCCCUGUCGAGGGGGAGGAAGGCGCAAGCUUGACCGAUCCCUGGAGGAAGCACGGGCUAAGUUCGUGCCAGCAGCCGCGGUAAGACGAACCGUGCGAACGUUGUUCGGAAUCACUGGGCUUAAAGGGCGCGUAGGCGGCUUCGCAAGUCCGGGGUGAAAGCCCCCCGCUCAACGGGGGAAGGGCCUUGGAAACUGCGGGGCUGGAGGGAGGUAGGGGCAUGUGGAACUUCUGGUGGAGCGGUGAAAUGCGUUGAUAUCAGAAGGAACGCCGGUGGCGAAAGCGACGUGCUGGACCUCUACUGACGCUGAGGCGCGAAAGCCAGGGGAGCAAACGGGAUUAGAUACCCU